AUAUAUACAUAUACACACAUACAUACACACACACACUCCAAAAAUGGCAUUAGAAAGGUUUCCUAAAGAGAAAGGUAGGUGUGUGUGUGUGUGUGUGUGUGUGUGUGUGUGUGU